UACGUAGGGGGCAAGCGUUGUCCGGAAUUAUUGGGCGUAAAGAGCGUGUAGGCGGUCCGGUAAGUCAGCUGUGAAAGUCAAGGGCUCAACCCUUGAAUGCCGGUUGAUACUGUCGGGCUAGAGUCCGGAAGAGGAGAGUGGAAUUCCUGGUGUAGCGGUGAAAUGCGCAGAUAUCAGGAGGAACACCGGUGGCGAAGGCGGGUCUCUGGGCCGAUACUGACGCUGAGGAGCGAAAGCGUGGGGAGCGAACAGG
rnacentral:rRNA from 1 species